UCUGAAGGCGGCCGGAGCGGCUGUCUCAAUUAAGAUGAGGCUCUUGCUGCUUCUGCUGGUGGCGGCGUCGGCGGUGGUCCGCAGCGAGGCCUCUGCCAACCUGGGCGGCGUGCCCAGCAAGAGAUUAAAGAUGCAGUACGCCACGGGGCCGCUGCUCAAGUUUCAGAUUUGGUGAGUACGCGCGUCGACCCCCGGCCGCCGGGUCCGGGCUGUGCGCUACCCGAGGCCCCGGCUUCGCGGCCUAGGUGGUUGCUGCUUGCUUGGCUGAGAGCGCGAAGCCGGCUCCUUCCACACGGGCGGCUCGGGGUCCGGACGCUUCGGCGGGCCUCCGCUUCCCUUGGGGCGCUGGCCCCGGGCCUCGGCUCUCUCUGGAGUGCUGGCGUGGAGUGGCCGGCCUUUCUCAGGCGGGGUUCCUCAUCGCUGUGCGCCGGCGGCCGAACCGGGCCGGGCGGCAGCACUGCGAGGACGCGAGGUGGAGCCCGCCGCUCCUAGAAACCGCAGCUCCGCUAGGUUUCCGCGGCACCGGCACGCUUCCCGGACAGCUUUCCCCCUUUAAAGGUCUUGUUUAUUCAUAGAAAAAGGAAGGGAGCCCGUCAGUUUUCGAUGUGUUAGUAAUCGACUUUGCUGUUGAUUGGUUGAACAUUAAAAGUAGGACAGGGAUCCAUUUUAUUAAGGCAGCAGGGGUUGAGGCAGCUUUUAAAAAGCUCCGAUUCAAAAAAAAAAAAAA
rnacentral:lncRNA from 1 species